AUUGAACGCUGGCGGCAGGCUUAACACAUGCAAGUCGAGCGGGGGAAGGUAGCUUGCUACCGGACCUAGCGGCGGACGGGUGAGUCAUGCUUAGGAAUCUGACUAUUAGUGGGGGACAACAUCUCGAAAGGGAUGCUAAUACCGCAAACGUCCUACGGGAGAAGGCAGGGGAUCUUCGGACCUUGCGCUAAUAGAUGAGCCUAAGUCAGAUGAGCUAGUUGGUGGGGUAAAGGCCUACCAAGGCGACGAGCUGUAGAGGGUCUGAGAGGAUGAUCCGCCACACUGGGACUGAGACACGGCCCAGAGUCCUACGGGGGGCAGCAGUGGGGAAUAUUGGGCAAUGGGGGGAACCCUGAUCCAGCCAUGCCGCGUGUGUGAAGAAGGCGUUAUGGUUGUAAAGCACUUUAAGCGAGGAGGAGGCUACUUUAGUUAAUACCUAGAGAUAGUGGACGUUACUCGCAGAAUAAGCACCGGCUAACUCUGUGCCAGCCGCCGCAGUAA
rnacentral:rRNA from 1 species